rnacentral:lncRNA from 1 species
GUUUCCUCCAUGCUGUUUUCAUGAUAGUGAGUUCUCAUGACAUCUGAUGAUUUAAAAGUGGCAUUUCUUCCCCACCUCCUGCUGUGAUUACUAGGAAAAAAGACAGACCAGGUGAGGAGAUGAAUGGAGUGAGAAGACAGCCCAGUGGAAUGAGAAACUAAUGAGGACCUAAAUGCCUGUGAUGGAGGUGAGGACAAAGGGGUAUCUUUAACAACACCAGGAGAGAGAAAACUGGAUGGACAAUAAUGCAGGGUGGCUUUUGUAUUGAGCUUGCUUGUGCCUAUGAACCAUGAUGAAUGACAAAUGCAAUUGCAUGCUGAAAACCGGGUUGAGUGAUCCAGGCUCAUUUAUGUGUCUGAACACCUAUAAUUACAGGACUUUAGGUACUUAAUUUUAUCAUGAGAGGUGGUGAGUUUACAAAACUCAAUAUGGGCACAAAUUAAAAUAGUUCAAUAAUUUUAAGAAACUCAAAAUUAUCCAAAGCAAUUUAUAAUUUCACAUUCAAUAUUAGCAUAAUCAAUUUUUAAUUUUUUCAUCUAAAUAAUAAAAUAUUUUGAAAUUUGGAAUCCCCAGAGAUACAGAAAAGCUGGUAGACUGUGCUCUUCCCACAAGCUAUGUCUUUACCGCCCACAUUAUCCAAGUUGUAGACAUCCAAUAAAUUCAAAUAUUACAAAACUGUCAAAUCCAUUUUUACAUUCAGAUGAUCAGAAGUUUCCAAACAUCAGCUGAAUUUGGUUUUCUGGCAUAAUAGCAAUUAUAAUUAAUAAACUUAUUUGCAUAAUCAUUAUAAAUUGUCACAGAAUUGCAGAUCUGCAGAGAGAUUGAAAGAUGUGAUUUAGAUAGUAUUGAAACCCUAGGGAGUUGUUGAUGUAGAAUAAUACAAUGAAUUAUUGGAAAGUUAAACUGAGUACUACUCUAUAUAACUUCCAACAUUCACUGACCCAAUUUCAAUUCUGAGCUCAGAAAUUUGUAUCAUUGUCUGAUGAAGCUUAUCUAAGCCAAAUUUCAGCUGAAGAUCCUUUGUUGAAGGCAUCUCUGCCCCUCUCAAUUUCCUGAAAUAAACAUAAAAAUAAUAAUGAUGAUGAUGAUAAUAUUAUAGAAAACUACACCUUCAAAGAAGUUAGUAAGCAGCAAAAUCUCAGACCACAGUUUAUGAAAGAAGGCUUGAAAAGUGCAAUGAAAAAGAAAUCUGGUUUAGAAAAAAAGCCAAGAGUUGAAAAACAGGUCUACACAAAAUGGUUACCUAAAAGUGGCAUCUACAGACAGAAAGUCCAUACUAAAGCCCCCUCUACUGUAAGGAGCAGCAAGGUUUGUUGCAUCUUGAGCCACAUCUGUUAGUGUGAAGUGGCAGAGAAGAUGUGUAGAAAUAAAGACACCUACAGAUACAAAACAAACUACCACCACCAAUCACAAAUGCAAUCAUAUGGCAAGAUGGGGGAGGAAAGUGAGUGACCAAGAGUUCUGCAAUGAUAUUAAAAAGAAUAGUCUUGAAAUCACGACACACACACACACACUUAAUGAUUUUUUUGUUUUGUUUUUGGCUGGAGUGCAGUGGCACUAUAGUAAUCCACUGCAGCCUUGAACUCCUAGGCUCAAGCUGUCUUACUACCUCAGCCUUCUGAGUAACUGGUACUACAGGCAUGCACCACCACGCCUGACUAUUUGUGUAUGUGUGUUUGUGUGUAUGUGUAGAGAUAGGGUCUCACUAUAUUGCCUAGUCUGGUCUCAAACUGCUGGGCCCAAGUGAAGAAAUCCUCCUGCCUCAGUCUCCCAAAGCCCUGGGAUUACAGAUGUGAGCCACCAUGCCCAGCCAAGAAUAAUAAUUUUAAGGGCUUUAUGGAUACUUGAUGCCCCCAAGCGCUGAAGAAGUAAGCAUAAAUAUUUCCUCAAAGAAUUUCCACAGGGAAAUUUUCAAUAUUUAUUCUCUCUCUCUCACACACACACACAUACAAACACACAUACACAAAACAUCCCAACACACACACAUACACAACAUCCCAACACACACACAUACACACACCAUCCCAACACACACAUAUACACACACCAUCUUAAAGCACCCACGGGAACAAUACCUUGUGAGAAAGAGAAAUCAAAACAACUUUAGUAUCAGACCCACAAAGAAGGUAGAAGUUGGAUUUACCAAAUGUAAAAUACAGAAUGCAAAGUAUUUGUAUCUAAAGAAAUAAAAGACCAAAUUUAAAACAUGAGUGAAGCUUAAAAGCUUACAUAAAAGUAUCUGGUAAAUUUGAAAAUAGACCACAGAGGAUUCCAAGACAUACCUAGAGUCUUCAAAGUACAACUGUAGAAUACAAAAGAAAAAAAAUAUAUUUUAGAAGAAGUUAGCUUAAAUGCAGGUCACGAACAGAGAGCAUCUUUCUCUAUUUACAACCUGGUCCUCCUGACUCUCAAUUUAGUUCUCUUUUUGACUUUCCAUAGUUGUACAAUUACUAAGGUAACCGUUUGGAGAAUAAAAAAUAAACAAAUUAACAAACGGAAAUGAGGAGGUCAAAUUGAAGGAAGUAUAAACAAAUGUUUCAUUUUUCAUAGUGGAGUCUACAAAGGAGUAUAGGAACAAAUAUAAAAUACUGGAAAAAAGUUGUAAAUUUAAUUCAACAGGAUAUGAUAAUGGUUUGCAGUGACAAAUGGAAAUGCAAAGAAGUUUUAAUAUUAGAAAAAUCUAUUAGUAUAAUGUAUUAUAUUAUUAAGUGAUUGAAGGAAAGAGGCCACCACAAUAGCUGCUGGAAAGAUAUUUAAUAAGCUUUAAUACCCAUUUUUAAUAACAGCAAACUAGCAACUAGAAUGGUUCUUGUUCAACUUGAUUAAAGAUAUAAAUCUAAAUUAUAGAGCCAGUUCAAUAUAUAACAGUGAAACACCAGAGGCCUCCUCAUUAAAAUCAGGAACAGCAGAGAAUGGCUGCUGCUCAGUUAUUUUUCCAUUAACUAUGGAUGUUCCAGAACUUUCUUGGUCAAAUUCUUCUGUAUAGGCCUGAAACUUCUUGAAGCUCUACAUAUAUUUACUCAUCUUUUUAAUCUUUUAUUGAAGAUACUUGUAGGAAUAAAAAAUGUUUUUCUGGUAAGUGUUAUUUGCAAGUGAGUCACACCAAGAUGUAAUUUACUUGCAAAUAACAAUUAUCUUUCUCAGAAAUAUGAAUUUCAUAUUAUGAGUGAAAUGUAUAAUGUUUACAAGCUCUUGUGCAGAAAUUAUCCCACAUUUAAUCUUGUUACUGAGAGAAAGACAGAGAGAGAGACAGAGAGAGAGAGAGAGUGUCCAUUAAACCUAAGGUAAAAAUCAGAUUUUAUCCUAGAUGCAAGCAAACAAUUUAGUGUGCAACAGUGUUACAGAUGCUGAUAGAAGAGUCUACAAUCUACUCCUGCAUAAGAGCUACAGAACAGUUCUUUACUCACAGUCAUAGCAAUAGCCAGAAUAUUAGUAUUUUUGCAUGGUUUUUCUGAAUCCCAGCUCCUAAAGGGAGAUACAAAGAGAGCCAGGUGACAUCCAAACAAACACUCAGUGUGCUGCAUUACAGAAGGGGAGCCCUGAGCUUAGGGAGCCUGAAUGUUUUAUAGUGGACAAAGGCUUGCUUGCUCUUUCUUCCAGGAGACAUUCUCUUUAUUACACUGGACAGUGUGCCUGUGCUUUUGUCUAGAGGGGGACACUACCUCCCAAAGCUGUUCACUAUACAAACAAUCCUGAAGAGAUAGUCCAGAGAAAAGGACAGUCAGUGCCCUUGCUCACAAGGCAUGCAGAAACACAAGAGACCAAUAGAGAAUUGUCUUCCCACAGCAAUCAACUCUGAUUGUCAUUAUACAGCUAUCAGUAUGACAUUUUAUUUGUUGUCAAGCUUUUACAUUAGACCCUUAUUUCCAUGAAAGUAUGAACGAUGUUUAUUUUUUCUACUACUGCAUGCAUAAUAAAG